AAAGCUCUGAGGAAUUACUGCGAAAGCAUUCAUCAAGGAUAUUUUCAUCAAUCAAGAAUGAAAGUUAGGGGAUUAUUACCAUCGUGGUA
rnacentral:rRNA from 15 species